AUACGUAUGUCGCAAGCGUUAUCCGGAUUUAUUGGGCGUAAAGCGCGUCUAGGCGGCUUAGUAAGUCUGAUGUGAAAAUGCGGGGCUCAACCCCGUAUUGCGUUGGAAACUGCUAAACUAGAGUACUGGAGAGGUAGGCGGAACUACAAGUGUAGAGGUGAAAUUCGUAGAUAUUUGUAGGAAUGCCGAUGGGGAAGCCAGCCUACUGGAAAUAUACUGACGCUAAAGCGCGAAAGCGUGGGUAGAAAACAGGAUUAGAUACCCUGGUAGUCCACGCCGUAAACGAUGAUUACUAGGUGUUGGGGGUCGAACCUCAGCGCCCAAGCUAACGCGAUAAGUAAUCCGCCUGGGGAGUACGUACGCAAGUAUGAAACUCAAAUGAAUUGACGGGG
rnacentral:rRNA from 1 species